rnacentral:rRNA from 1 species
UGAUGGAAGCUGCAGAGUUCGCCCUUAGAGUUUGAUCCUGGCUCAGGACGAACGCUGGCGGCGCGCUUAACACAUGCAAGUCAUUGUAGCAAUACAAGGCGCACGGGUGAGUAACGCGUAGGUGAUCUGCCCCUAUCACAGGCAUAACGUUGGGAAACUAGCGAUAAUACCUGAUGAGGCCUCUGGGUCAAAGAUUUAUCGGAUAGGGAUGAGCCUGCGUUAGAUUAGCUAGUUGGUGAGGUAAAGGCUCACCAAGGCGACGAUCUAUAGCUGGUCUGAGAGGACGAUCAGCCACACUGGUACUGAGACACGGACCAGACUCCUACGGGAGGCAGCAGUGAGGAAUUUUGGACAAUGGAGGAAACUCUGAUCCAGCGACGCCGCGUGUUGGAUGAAGGGGCUUAGCCCUGUAAACAACUGUCAGAUGGGGAAAAAAGCCUGCUAUGUGGGCUGGGAUUGUACCAUCAGAGGAAGGGUCGGCUAACUACGUGCCAGCAGCCGCGGUAAUACGUAGGACCCGAGCGUUGUCCGGAUUUACUGGGUAUAAAGGGUGCGCAGGCGGAUCUGUGCGUCAGAGGUUAAAUACCCCGGCUCAACCGGGGAGGUGCCUUUGAUACGGCAGGUCUUGAAUGUGAGAGAGGAUGAUAGAAUUCCUGGUGUAGCGGUGGAAUGCGUAGAUAUCAGGAGGAAUACCAAUGGCGAAGGCAGUCAUCUGGCUCAUUAUUGACGCUUAGGCACGAAAGCGUGGGGAUCAAACAGGAUUAGAUACCCUGGUAGUCCACGCCCUAAACGAUGUAUGCUUGGUGUUGGGAGGUCAACUUUCAGUGCCGGAGGAAAUCUGUUAAGCAUACCACCUGGGGAGUACGAUCGCAAGGUUGAAACUCAAAGGAAUUGACGGAAGGGCGAAUCCA